UACGAAGGGGGCUAGCGUUGCUCGGAAUCACUGGGCGUAAAGGGUGCGUAGGCGGGUCUUUAAGUCAGGGGUGAAAUCCUGGAGCUCAACUCCAGAACUGCCUUUGAUACUGAAGAUCUUGAGUUCGGGAGAGGGUGAGUGGAACUGCGAGUGUAGAGGUGAAAUUCGUAGAUAUUCGCAAGAACACCAGUGGCGAAGGCGGCUCACUGGACGACUGUUGACGCUGAGGUGCGAAAAGCGUGGGGGAGCAAAACAGGG
rnacentral:rRNA from 1 species